rnacentral:rRNA from 2 species
UGUUUCGGCUAGGGGGUCAUCCCGACUUACCAACCCGAUGCAAACUACGAAUACCGAAGAAUGUUAUCACGGGAGACACACGGCGGGUGCUAACGUCCGUCGUGAAGAGGGAAACAACCCAGACCGCCAGCUAAGGUCCCAAAGUCAUGGUUAAGUGGGAAACGAUGUGGGAAGGCACAGACAGCCAGGAUGUUGGCUUAGAAGCAGCCAUCAUUUAAAGAAAGCGUAAUAGCUCACUGGUCGAGUCGGCCUGCGCGGAAGAUGUAACGGGGCUAAACCAUGCACCGAAGCUGCGGCAGCGACACUAUGUGUUGUUGGGUAGGGGAGCGUUCUGUAAGCCUGCGAAGGUGUGCUGUGAGGCAUGCUGGAGGUAUCAGAAGUGCGAAUGCUGACAUAAGUAACGAUAAAGCGGGUGAAAAGCCCGCUCGCCGGAAGACCAAGGGUUCCUGUCCAACGUUAAUCGGGGCAGGGUGAGUCGACCCCUAAGGCGAGGCCGAAAGGCGUAGUCGAUGGGAAACAGGUUAAUAUUCCUGUACUUGGUGUUACUGCGAAGGGGGGACGGAGAAGGCUAUGUUAGCCGGGCGACGGUUGUCCCGGUUUAAGCAUGUAGGCUGGUUAUCCAGGCAAAUCCGGAUAAUCAAGGCUGAGGUGUGAUGACGAGGCACUACGGUGCUGAAGUAACAAAUGCCCUGCUUCCAGGAAAAG